AGGUUAGUACAGGAAAUGAUGGAUCCUCAAAGAUCACUACCUCUUGUCAUCAGGGCGCGUGUCUACAUUGCAAUGAUAUUAAGUGCUAUCUACAUUCUCAGCCCUGUAGACAUCAUCCCAGAAGGUAUUUUGGGUAUAUUUGGCCUCUUGGAUGAUUUGCUUAUAGGACUUAUGUGCUUCCUUCAUGUCGCUGCCGUAUAUCGUUCAGUACUAUAUUAUCGUCAUGGAGGUUCAUGAGCUGUGUAAUAGCAAUGGCAUGUUUAAGAUAACAAAUGGAGUUCAUAAAUUC
rnacentral:misc_RNA from 1 species